rnacentral:tRNA from 13 species
GGUAGCGUGGCCGAGUGGUCAAGGCGCUGGUUUUAGGCACCAGUCUUUCGAGCGUGGGUUCGAAUCCCACCGCUGCCA